UAUUACCGCGGCUGCUGGCACGGAGUUAGCCGGUGCUUCUUCUGUAGGUAACGUCAAAUGCUGCAGGUGUUAACUACACUACCUUCCUCCCUACUGAAAGUGCUUUACAACCCGAAGGCCUUCUUCACACACGCGGCAUGGCUGCAUCAGGGUUUCCCCCAUUGUGCAAUAUUCCCCACUGCUGCCUCCCGUAGGAGU
rnacentral:rRNA from 1 species